rnacentral:lncRNA from 1 species
AGACUGUACCUAUAACCUUGCAGGAGGUGCUGUGUGACUCUUUUUGGCAGUGCUUCCUUGCUCCCCUGGAGCUGGCUGGCAGCAGGAGCUGAACCCCAGGAGCUGAACCUCAGCAGCUAGCACAGCAGGAGGGGCAGCAGGGACAGGCAGACCUAUUUCUGCAAGCAAGCUGCUGUCUCCAGCGUUGUAAAGCUGGUCAGCUCCCCGAUGAAUGCGCUUAGUGGGGGCCUGGCGAUGCUGGUGCCUUCUUCUACCGUUGCGAAAGCACAGAGAUGUGCUCCGUAUGCAGCUCCAAGGGGCUUAUGCAGGGAAAAACUCUCAUGGGAGUAGGAGGGAAGAAGAAGUUCAAAGGCUUGUUGAGUAGAGGCUGCAGAAAGAGGCUUGGUGGGGUAUUAAUAAUAGAUUUCACAGUGGGAAGAAAGUAAGAAUUUUUGAAUUUGGGAAAAAAUUAGUAUCUACUUAAACCAUUUUCAUUAUGGAGUUCUGCCUGCUUGCUGGCUAAAUUCCCACUCCCGCAGUUUGUAUGACAGUAGCAAUAUCACACAGUGUCUUUUGUAUUUAAGAUCAGGAAUUACUGUUUUCUCACAGUAUUGACACAGGCCUGGGAAGAAGUCAAGUCUUCCAAGCUGAAUCUUCACUCAAUUGUUUGAAAAUCAACCCAGCUGCCUAUAGCUUCCACUUGCCGUCAAGGAGCAACCUGGAAUGACUUGUGGCGCUCUCGAAUUGUCCCUCGCGACGUGUGAGACUCACGGUCUGAAGUGGAUGGAACCACCUGCCCAGGUGCUGCCUGGCUGCUUCUGCUUCGCAGGCCAAGCAGGGGAAGAGGUAACACAGGUGUUCAAAGGGGACUGAGGUACUUCCUUGAAGUUGAGUGCUGCCAGCCUAGGUGCCAUCUCCACUCUGGGAAUGAUUCCCUUCAGCAACGAAUCUCUGCCCGCAGGGCCCAAGGAUGCCUUGCUUCCUUGUCAGAAGUAAGCCAGCUCCUUCGUCCAAGGUGAAAUCCAAGGAAGUUUGGAGGACAAUUCACUCCGGGGACCAGAACCAAAGGCUGGCGUUCCCCUCGCUCCAGUCACCCACUUCUCUUGGCAGCACCAAGGCCUGUCCCUGGAGAGCAUCAUCCUAUGGUGGCACUUUUAGCACAAGGAACUCUCGUUACCAGAGGAAAAACAGAUGCUUCCCGUCCAGACUAAUCAGGGAAGAAGUUUUACCCAGAGGAUGAAUCUGCAUCUUCCUUUUUUAUACUGAAGUUCAAUGUGAAUACAAAGGAAAUCAAGUGUUUCGUACAUCAGAGGAGAAAGGCAGAAGAGGUGAGGCAGAAGGAAGACAUGAUAAAAAUAGGAUAUAAAAGAGCAUCAUAAAAAUACACUGGAGCAGAAGUGUCAGAACAGCCUUUAAAAUAUCCUGGAUGAUCGAUAUGACAAAUAAUACAGAACUGGUGCUUGCAGUAAGCAGGGGUCCAAAGUAUCCCACUUUAAUUACUUUCCCGGGGAGUUUCCAGGGAGCAGUGUGGACUGCUGGCUAGACAUCAGCCACUGGUCAAGCCUGGCAGCACAUGAGAUGGCUAUUCACCAGCAUCCUCUGUGACGGGAAUAUGUGCCAGCCAAACUCCCAAUAAACACGACAAGAUCCCCA